GGGGGUGAAAUUGGCUUCGACGUGGUUGAAGAGACAUUGAACUGCACACCGUGUUCCCCGAGUACACGUAAAACAAUUGGGAAUAAAAAUAUAACUGGCGAAUAUAACUACGCCUUAGCUGCGUAAUAAAACAUGCAGCCGUUCUCUUUUCUCCCUCAUGCCGGGGUUAAGCAGAGCGUCGUUUAGGUAUGAUAGCCGAACCGUUUGCUUGUGCCGGUAAAGCGAAUUCUUAACAGGCUAGCUUAAAGUGGUCCCCGUCUGUUAGGCAGCUUUAAGUUAAAAAAAACAAAACAGACUAAGUGUGUAGAUGUUUUUUGGUUCUUAACUUCGGACCGGGGUUC
rnacentral:tmRNA from 1 species